rnacentral:rRNA from 1 species
AGAGUUUGAUCCUGGCUCAGGACGAACGCUGGCGGCGUGCUUAACACAUGCAAGUCGAACGGAAAGGCCCGCUUGCGGGUACUCGAGUGGCGAACGGGUGAGUAACACGUGGGCAACCUGCCCUCAGCUCUGGGAUAACUCCGGGAAACCGGUGCUAAUACUGGAUAUCAACUUCUGCUCGCAUGGGUGGUUGUUGAAAGUUUUUCGGCUGGGGAUGGGCCCGCGGCCUAUCAGCUUGUUGGUGGGGUGAUGGCCUACCAAGGCGACGACGGGUAGCCGGCCUGAGAGGGCGACCGGCCACACUGGGACUGAGACACGGCCCAGACUCCUACGGGAGGCAGCAGUGGGGAAUAUUGCGCAAUGGGCGGAAGCCUGACGCAGCGACGCCGCGUGAGGGAUGACGGCCUUCGGGUUGUAAACCUCUUUCAGCUCUGACGAAGCGAGAGUGACGGUAGGAGCAGAAGAAGCACCGGCCAACUACGUGCCAGCAGCCGCGGUAAUACGUAGGGUGCAAGCGUUGUCCGGAAUUAUUGGGCGUAAAGAGCUCGUAGGCGGUUUGUCGCGUCGAAUGUGAAAACCCGGGGCUCAACCCCGGGCCUGCAUUCGAUACGGGCAGACUAGAGUUCGGUAGGGGAGUCUGGAAUUCCUGGUGUAGCGGUGAAAUGCGCNNAUAUCAGGNNNAACACCGGUGGCGAAGGCGGGACUCUGGGCCGAUACUGACGCUGA